rnacentral:rRNA from 1 species
AGAAUCAACGCUGGCGGCGUGCCUAACACAUGCAAGUCGCACGAGAAAGGGGCUUCGGCCCUGAGUAAAGUGGCGCACGGGUGAGUAACACGUGAAUGAUCUACCUCCGAGUGGGGAAUAACCAAAGAAAUUUUGGCUAAUACCGCAUAACACUUACGAGUCAAAGCAGCAAUGCGCUUGGAGAGGAGUUCGCGGCAGAUUAGCUAGUUGGCGGGGUAAUGGCCCACCAAGGCGAUGAUCUGUA